rnacentral:rRNA from 1 species
AGAAUCAACGCUGGCGGCGUGCCUAACACAUGCAAGUCGAACGAGAAAGGGAUUUCGGUCCUGAGUAUAGUGGCGCACGGGUGAGUAACACGUGAAUAAUCUACCUCCGAGUGGGGAAUAACUGAGAGAAAUCUUAGCUAAUACCGCAUAACACUUACGAGUCAAAGCAGCAAUGCGCUUGGAGAGGAGUUCGCGGCCGAUUAGUUAGUUGGCGGGGUAAUAGCCCACCAAGACGAUGAUCGGUAU